AUGUCCUCUGUCAUAGACAACUUGUUCAUCUUCUGCUCAGUAUCCAGCGACAGACACAACAUGGGCAUCCCAACCACAAUGGCCUCCAGCAACGAGUUCCAUCUGCAAUGCGUCACGAACGCGCCAGUGGCCCGAUGGCCGAGCACGUUCAUCUGCAGCACCCACGACUUGACGACCAGGCCCCUGCCCUUGGUCCAGAGUACGACAAGUUCCGGCUCGGGGUGCACUUCCAAGUAUUUCUCUGGGUCAUCACUUCCCGCAGGCAUGCGCGCGGACCAUAGGAACCGCUGCCUUGACCUCUCCAAGCAAAUGGAUAUCUUCUUGAGCUGCUCCGCCGAGAGUGCGCCCUUGCUCCCGAAACAGAGGAACACAAUGAUGCGGUCGGGAUGUGCAUCGAGCCACUCGAGGCAUUCAUUCCUCUCUGCUUUGUCUUCAUCCUUGGUGCCCUUGCUGACCAACGGACCAACGCAGUAG
rnacentral:rRNA from 1 species